rnacentral:lncRNA from 10 species
ACGGAGUCUCGCUCUGUCACCCAGGCUAGAGUGCAGUGGUGCGAUCUUGGCUCACUGCAACCUCCGACUUCCGGGUUCACACCAUUCUCCUGACUCAGCCUCCCGAGUAGCUGGGACUACAGCUGCCCACCACCACGCCCGGCUAAUUUUUUAUAUUUUUAGUAGAGGUGGGGUUUCACAGUGUUAGCCAGGAUGGUCGCGACCUCCUGACCUCAUGAUCUGGCUGCCUUGGCCUCCCAAAGUGCUGGGAUUACAGGCGUGAGUCAUCACGCCCUGCUGCUUCAUUUCUUUUUUUUUUCAUUUUUACUUUUAGAUCCAGGGUCUCCUUGUGUCGCCCAGGCUGGAGUGCAGUGGUGUGAUCACAGCACACUGCAGCCUUGACCUCCUGGACUCAAGGGAUUGUCCUGCCUUGGCCUCCUGAGGAGCUAGGACUACACGUGUGCACCACCAUGCCCAGCUAAUUUUUAAAUUUUUUGCAUAGAUGGGGACUCGCUAUGUUGCCCAGGUUGGUCUCCAACUUACGAUCUCAAGAGAUCCUCCUGCCUCGACCUCCCAAAGGGAUUAUAGGCGGCAGCCACUAUGCCUGGCUGGUGUCUUUUAUCUUGAUAAAAUCAUUUAGAAAUAAUAGCACUUGUAUGGUGCUUACUAGGCCAGGUACCUCAAACAUAUUAUGUCUACAAACUCAGUCAACAGUCACUUUUAUUAAUAAUGCAUCAGCCUGAGAUUGGUGGGUAGCUCUGUUUUGCUGUUUUCCCGUUUUCCCAGAAUCCUCUAGGGCAGUCUCCUCCUGUCCUCUUCUGCCCCUGCCCCAGACGUCCUGGCCCAUGGCAGAUGCCAGAUGUCAGACAACUGAGACAGCUCAGAAGAAUCUCCCAUAGCCAGAAGGAAACUCAAUUCUGCAGGCACUGCACAGAAAUGCUUGGUCCCAUGCUUAGCUCAAUCGCCUCUAUCCAGGAUCUAUGUACUGGGCCGAUACAUAGAUCACAGGAAGUUUUAUUUCUCUCCACCCCUGCCCCCCAACCCCGGGCAAAUUCCAUGGUCCACAAGGACACGGGCAGGCUCCAGCAUGUCCAGUAGGACAGGACGCCUCAGGGAGGGCACGAGGACAAGUGCCUGGGGGUCUGAAACCACUGAGGGCUCUUCCCGGAGAUUUACUUUUGAGACUUAACUCUUUUAAUUACUCUCUGGACUGGCUGACGUUCAGUCGAAGCUGGUUUGCCCAGGGCAGUGGAAAGAAACCAAGAAACCAGAGGCUGAGACUCAGGCUUCAUGUAGCCACAAGGAAGGAAGAAGAGACCCCACAAAACACUCCCAACAGCUCUUUGCCUCCGGUCACCCCAAAGAGAGGCCGUUCUGCCUUUUAAGAUGAAGGGAAACAAG